AGCAACAACCAGAAAGGUUAGUACCGACAGGUUACAGAACAGUUUGUAACUACAACGCUGCUAUUACUCAGAUCAUUGACAGCCUUGGAAGAACAUCACCUCAUGGUUUAACCAACUCCAGUACGCCUCAUCGUCGGCCCCCAGCCUUCGGGUUUGCAGAUCUCAGACGCUGCGCUGCCGCUACCGCCUGCCUCGUUUCUGCAUGCCACACCAAUACAACAAAUGAGUUAUACACAUUUGUUGGAACAUGCAAGUAAAUAUGAUCAAAAGAUGUUGUGUUCCUAGUCUCCAUAUACGAGUAGAACAGACUACAACGCAAAGCCCAGACUACCAAAUGUCGAUCUUUACCAUGAAAACUAAGAAUCCAGCCACUAAUCUCAGAGAAACUCAUGGCUACAUAGCCAAACCAGCAACACAUUUCACUAAGCC
rnacentral:lncRNA from 1 species